GUAGGAUUUUUCACUAGUGCUAUAUUUAACUUUUUUAACUUUUACAAUUUUUGAAAAUGAUCAAAUAAUGCUCUGAUCCAUGUGAUUAAUAUGUUUAAACCCUCAUCACGUAGCACUCAUGCAUAUAUAUGAAAGUUUUGAAAUAGAUUUAAUUGCCUUAAUAUUUUAUAUUUCAUUUAAAAAUUGUUAAUGGUAUUAAGAUUUCGUUAUAAUUAAUUAUUGUGUAAUGUAGAGAUGGGUUUAUCAUUAUCAUAUACCAUUUUUGAUGGCUAAAAUAUUACUCAUUUUAAAUAUGGAAAAAAACAUACAAUUGUUUGACUGAAAGCUUUUUUUAGAUGUUGGAAAUAUUUCUAGAGGUAGAUGCAUAAAAUUUUCCAUUUUAGUUUUGGAUUAGAUUUAUGUCUUAUAUUGAUUGAUCUCACCAAUAACUUAAAGAUGUUAAAGAUCUCAAAUUGAAAAAAUACAUAAGUUUUCAUCAAAUCAUGACUUUUCAUGUUGAAAAAGAGUUAAAAGGAGUUGCAAUUUAUUAUUGUCUUCCAAGAUCAUCGAAUGCCUUUUGGUAUUUUUUUUACCUAAUUUUUGCUUUUUCUCAUAUACAAUUUUCUGUCUCACAUUAUUUUUGUUUUUGUUAUAUUUUUCAUAUGCUAUUUAUUGGUGUUUUGGAAAUGCAUAAUAUCUCACAUUUUAUAUACUGCAAGUAUAUCACUGCUUGUAACAGAAUUCAUGUCUGCAUGCUAGAGUGGUAAAUAAUUUUCCGUUAUAUGAUUUGACCAGAUACCUACUUUAUAAUUUGACAUUCCAAACAAUUGUUACACUUUUGUUAAGAUUCAGUUAUGUUUGCUUUAUUUUUCCAUCCUUUUUUAUUCCUAAAUUUAUAUUGAUCCUGCUUAUAUAAGUUUGAGAUUGUCAUUAUUCCAUGUAUAAAGAUAUCAUUGAAAUUGUAUUAUUGAAGAUCAAUAUCCUAGAUUUCACUCUUUUUUCCCCUGAGAUUUCUGUAAAAUUGAACUGGUUUCUGAUGUAUGUAAAUGAUUGAUAUAUGAUCUGUAAAUCAUGUGAAAUAAUUUUUGAACAAAUUCUUGGUCAUCAUAAACUUGUUAAGUUUUACAAAUGGAAUCACCAGCCGAAGUACAACUACAGGUGCUAAUCUUUUAUCAUAUGAAAAAAACUUUGAAGGGUACAGACAUAAUAUUGUGAAUUUAAGAAUUACCAAUAUAUUGUGGCAAAAAUAACUGCCAUUUGCCACUACACAAAGUGGAUGUCAUAAGCAUAUCAUAUCAUGGCAGCUUAUAUUUAUUACUAUGAAAUAUCUUCAUUAUUCCAUCAUUAUUAAAGAUAAAAUAUAUCUUUUUAUGUAUUUUGGAACGUUAACUGUUCAAUACUUUGAUAAAUGAAUAUGGAUUUGUAGAACCUAAAAUGUGCGGGUUAAGACUUGUGUUCCAAAAAUUAAAUGGCUGGAAGGUCUGGAUUUUUUUUAAGAAAGAGGACGGUUUCCUUAUGUUUAUAAAAAAAAGUUGCAUUUUACUAUCUGACAUUGAACAAAGAGACCAAUGAUUAAUAUAUUUUUGAUCAAUUCUGUCAGGUUACCUAGCAGUUUAAACUAAUAAGUCAAAAAUAACUUAACUAGAUCACAAAUAAUAUAUCGCGGUUAGAGUGACCCGACAGCCUUUUCAUUUAUUAGUAAAAUUAACCUAAAUUUUGAAGGUUGGAGAUUUAACUAUUUUUGCAUUUAACGGCCCAAAUGAUGGCUCCUGUCAUACCUCAGAUAUUACUAUAUUGAUAGACAAGUUAAGACAAGUUAAUUAUUUGGAACAAACUACCAUUUAUAUUUUGAAUGUUACAAUUGUUAUUUAGUUACCUUAUAUUGUACUGUUUGUGCCAUGAUUUGUAGUGUAAUUUCCCCCAUACAUUUGAUAAAUUUAUCACUAGUUUUAGUCCUGUUUGUUUGUUGUCAAUUCACUUUUUUUUCUCAGGUAGCCUUAGAUCAAUUCUUUUGAUAUUUAAGCAGUGUGACUUGUGACAUAUAAACAUUAUGUUUGAUGACCAGGAUAUGGUAAAUCCAUUUAUUCCAAUUGCCUCAUUAUUUGCAUUGUAUGUACAUUUUCAUGGUUUCCAUAGAUCAUGCCAUUGUAUAGAUAUUGUAUAUUUUAAAUUUGGACAGAAAAGAACAAAGCAAUCUUUUGUUAAUUGCAGAUAAAGAUGUCAGAACUUCUAAAAUAAUAUUCUAUUGAUUACAGAAAAUGUACAAACCAAAUAGUGCUUGUGUAGAAAAAAAACAGUCAAAGAUUGACGGAAGUUUGCUGAAAGAUUUUUUUUCAGGUUUGACCAUAUGCUUUUUCUUGCAAAAUAAAGUUUUUGAAAUUAUAAAAUGAAGAAACUUCCAUUAUACGAUGAUGCAUUAGGCAAAUAAAUGUAAGAUUUUCUAGUCAUUAAUGUACACAGUAGAAGCUUUUCCUUUUUUGAAUUAAUAAAUUUGAUGUUUUUACA
rnacentral:lncRNA from 1 species